rnacentral:rRNA from 1 species
GACGAACGCUGGCGGCGUGCUUAACACAUGCAAGUCGAACGGAAAGGCCCUGCUUUUGUGGGGUGCUCGAGUGGCGAACGGGUGAGUAACACGUGAGUAACCUGCCCUUGACUUUGGGAUAACUUCAGGAAACUGGGGCUAAUACCGGAUAGCAGCUCCUGCUGCAUGGUGGGGGUUGGAAAGUUUCGGCGGUUGGGGAUGGACUGGCGGCUUAUCAGCUUGUUGGUGGGGUAGUGGCUUACCAAGGCAUUGACGGGUAGCCGGCCUGGGAGGGUGACCGGCCACAUUGGGACUGAGAGACGGCACAGACUCCGACGGGAGGCAGCAGUGGGGAAUAUUGCACAAUGGGCGGAAGCCUGAUGAAGCAACGCCGCGUGCGGGAUGACGGCUUUCGGGGUGUAAACCGCUUUCGCCUGUGACGAAGCGUGAGUGACGGUAAUGGGUAAAGAAGCACCGGCUAACUACGUG